GGAAAAAAAGAGAGAAAAAGAGAGGAGAGAAAAAGAGAAAAACCGGCAUGAAAGAAAGAGAAAAAGAGAGGGUUCUGUUUAGAGAGCAUGCGUUCAUUCUUACCAUCUCUUUGGUUCUAUUUCUCUGAAGGUGUCCAAAUUGCGGUUUCCAGCCAUAUUGCUGGCUCGUGAUCUAUUUUUGAUCGAUAGGAUGGGGUUUUCGAUCGAUCAAACCAUGUUGAUGAGACUUUACCCGAGGCCAUUUCCGAACCAGAUCUGAUUUGAAAAGUUAUGUUUAUAUGUAACAUGAAAAAUUGUGUUUAUAUGUGUGAAUCUCUCAAUGUGGGCUUGAUUUGAUUUGAAUCUUGAUUUACAUUUGAGUAUUCAGCUUUAACCUCUCCUUUUGUUUGAUUUUGGUUUUGGACCGGGCUGGACUUUAUUGGGGCUGGAGUGUACAUUUGGAAGUUGGGCCGGAAUUGAGCAAUCGGUAGGCUCCAUGGGUUGGAUUGGUCCAAUUUAGUUUUAGCAUCUAAAAUUCAGAUAUUUAUGUACAAUACUUGUAUUUUUCUUAUAUUUUUUAGAAUUUUAUGAUUUGACAUGUAUAUAUCUUUGUAAAAUGUAAACCAUGUAAUAGGA